UUUGCCCAGGUCUACCGAGUGGUUUCCAAAUCCCUCAGCCCUCUCCUUCCAAGUGGGCUGCGGUCGCACAGGAAGGAAAAGCCGCACCAGACCUGCUCCCCGGUGACCUGGAAUCACCGAGUCUUAGUGCCGAAAAGGACUUCGAGCUCCAACUUGCUGUCAAGUGCAGGCAUCCUUCCAGAACUUCCCGGCCAGUGGACCUCCAGCUAGUUCUUGAAAACUGAGCAUGGCGGAAAUUCCUACUUGGGAGGCAGCGCACUCCGUUUCUAGGAAGUCCGAAUUGUUGGAACACUGUUGUCUUCUACAGACUCGGACGUUACCUCCAGAAUAUGUUUGAUAAAGACCUUUAAAGAAGAUCUAGGCUUCUUUAUGAAUUCCUGAAUUAACAGGCAAAAAAAAAAAAUUCAGAAAAUUCCUUCUCCUCAACCUCAGAUGGAUCGUGCCUCCGGGGCUUCUGUGCAGCUCGGAUUUCUGCUAGUUCCUCUCUGAGUCA